rnacentral:rRNA from 1 species
GCCUAACAGAAGAAAGUCGAACGAGAAAGUCCCCGCGAGGGGAUGAGUAAAGUGUCUUCCUGGUGAGUAACACGUAACUAACCUACCCUCGAGUGGGGGAUAACCUGGGGAAACUCGGGCUAAUACCGCAUUCAAUCUUUGUUGCGAUGCAACUGAGAUCAAAGGCCCGCAAGGGUCGCUCGAGGAGGGGGCUGCGGCCGAUUAGCUAAUUGGCGGGGUAACGGCCCACCAAGGCUAUGAUCUGUAGCCGGCCUGAGAGGGCGCACGGUCACACUGGCACUGAAACACGGGCCACACUCCUACGGGAGGCACCAAUGGG